AUCUUAUACAUGUGGCGGUGUCUUCUUUGACUCGUCUCUUUCUGUGGUUUUGACAUCUUACAUUUCAAGUUACUUUUGGGUCUCAGGCUUUCAGUCAAAUCCUAGCCUUUUUAAACUUGGUCAAAACUGGAGUAACAGAAACCAAAACGGCUAACAAAAAUCCUGUGUGUAUCCGACUCCUCCAUUUUAUCUUAGAAAAUUUCCAGCCGAAACCGAAGCAAUUGGGUUUGUCCGAUUUCAUUGGUUUGAGCUCUGACCAUGCGGCGCUAUGUAUCAAGAGUUUUUGAGUGGCGUCUGGGAUUCAGAGGACUUAAUUCAGUCAAUUGUAAAACAGGGUCAUAUUCCAGAUAUAAUUAUCCUCAAGGUUUAAUAAGUGGCCAUCUGGAUGGAUCCUUUUCCAAGAUGUAUGCGACUUCAUGUGAAAAGUUAUCAGAAGAUGCACCAAGAGAUGAUCCAGUUUCUGACAUGUUAGUUGAUUCAUUUGGAAGGCUACACACUUACUUGAGAAUCUCCUUGACGGAGCGUUGUAAUCUACGAUGUCAGUAUUGUAUGCCAGCUGAGGGUGUGGAGCUAAGUCCUAGUCCACAAGUACUGUCACAGAAUGAGAUUGUUCAUUUGGCGAAUCUAUUUGUCAGCUCUGGGGUAGACAAAAUUCGUUUGACUGGUGGAGAACCCACCAUUAGGAAAGAUAUUGAAGAAAUAUGCUUACAGCUGUCUAACUUGAAAGGGCUUAAGACCCUGGCCAUGACCACCAAUGGAAUAACUCUUGCAAGAAAGAUUAUGAAGUUAAAAGAAUGUGGGCUUAGUUCGCUGAAUAUUAGCUUAGAUACAUUGGUUCCCGCAAAAUUUGAAUUUCUGACCAGGCGUAAAGGGCAUGAAAGGGUAAUCGAGUCAAUUAAUGCCGCUGUAGAUCACGGAUACAAUCCUGUUAAAGUGAAUUGUGUUGUAAUGCGUGGAUUCAAUGAUGAUGAAAUCUGUGAUUUUGUGGAGUUAACACGUGACAAACCAAUAAAUAUCCGGUUUAUUGAGUUUAUGCCUUUUGACGGAAAUGUUUGGAAUGUUAGGAAACUCGUACCCUAUUCAGAAAUGUUGGACAGAGUGGUUCAACGGUUUUCAGGACUAAAAAGACUUCAGGAUCAUCACACAGAUACAGCCAAGAAUUUCAGGAUAGAAGGGCAUCAAGGAGCAGUUUCUUUUAUCACGUCGAUGACGGAGCAUUUCUGUGCUGGUUGCAAUAGGCUGCGACUUUUGGCUGAUGGGAGCUUUAAAGUUUGCCUAUUUGGCCCUUCAGAGGUUAGCUUGAGGGAUCCCCUUCGUCGUGGUGUUGAUGAUAUUGAACUCAAGGAAAUUAUUGGGGCAGCGGUCAAGAGGAAGAAAGCAUCUCAUGCUGGAAUGUUUGAAAUUGCAAAGACACCGAAUAGACCUAUGAUACACAUUGGUGGCUAGGGAAUGGUAUAUACACUUUUUCUAGACUUAUGUUUGUUUUUUGUUAAAUAUCUAGCAGUGGAGAAAAUUUUCUGAGUUUCAUGCUUCAAAAAACGAGCUUUCAUGCACUUUGAUUGGUUGAGUUGUGCUUCUCCUGGUCACUACAGAUUAUAAAAUCUUGUAUUAUGACUACUGAGUUGGGUAUCGAAUGCAGACUUGCACUCAUAUAUGGAAUCUUAGCCAAAAGAAUAGAAAAGAAAAAAAGAAAUUAUAUUUUGAAAGGGGAAAUCAACUUGAUGGAUUCCCAUGAGAGUAUGAUUUCAGUUCUUUAGUUCCAAGACUGAUUUGUAACAUCUCAAACAAAUCAAUUGGCACUGAAGACGUUAUAUUGUUCAACAUUUAAAAGUUUUCCUUCCCCUUUAAUAGCAAUAAUUUCUCGUGUACUGAAAUAUGUUUAGAGAGUCCCCAAUAAUGAAAUGAUUGCAUGUACUGCGGUGAGUUAUACCCGUGUGAUAACAACUUGCUCAGGCAGCGUCUGUCGGUAACUUGAUGUUGUCAUGCUAUGCUCACCUUGUGCAUUGCCUCUUGAGGGAUUCUCCAAAACUUCCACUCUAAUGUGUGGAACAAACUAUUAUUUUGUGUUGGCAUUUAGUAGUCAUGCAUUUUAAUAUGAUUAGACUUUAUAUUCAAGUGGUUGUAUGCUUGAACAAAAACUGAUUAAAUUCGAGCGAGGACCCAAAAAUGGUCUUCACAUCAUAUAUGCUUUGACCAUUUUCAUACAGCAACCUUGCAGAAUGCUUAAGUAGUUUUGGCUAACAUUUCUUUAGUUUUCUUUUUUUGGCCUUUUGUUCUUAUUUUGUGCUCAAUUUUGAAUUUUUCUGAUAAAUUUUUUUAUUCAAAAACCUAAUUUUGAAAAAUAUCUUCAAAACAUAACUGUCAGCCUAUUUUACGAUCAGAUCUAGUUCAUCUAAGGUCCAUUUUUUUUAGCCAACAUCUAAGGUCCAUUUACCUGUAUCGUAGAUAGUAAUUGAGUCUUAUGAACUUUGCAUCGUUUUCUUUGCAAACCAUUGUCUCCAGGAUCUUCAACUGUCGUAUACCACCGACUCUAAACACACUACAACCCAAGUUUAGAGUGGGAAAUUGCCAACAUAUGACUCCUAUUCCUAACAAAUGAGUCAAAGCAACUAAUGAUGGAGUUCUUCAACGAAUACCGAUCAUUGUUAUCUAAUCUAAUUUUAACAAGGCCGCUUUCACUCAUUCCCACAUAUUUGCUGCAAUACUUCAGGCUCUUCUGCAUUCUCUCCCCUUAUACAGUGUGAUUAUCCACCACUCCUGAAGAGUAGCCUUUAUCUAUUCUGGAUUUUGUUAUUUUUUGCUCAUUGAUCGUUGUGUUUAAGUGAUUUAGGAUUUGCAAUGGCUUCCUUUGGAAGCGUAAAGCUUCCAGAACAGUGUAUGACAGAGUCGCUGGAUAUGAAUUAUACACGAAAUGAUACGAAAAUAAACUCUGUUUAUUUUACAGUGUGGGGAGCUGGAAAUAGGUAAAAUAUUGCUUGGAAUAUAUAUGUUUAUAUAUAGGAACAAGCAAUACUGCUGGUACCAUUGCAACAGAGUUUGCUUUGACAAAUAACGAUCCUUCUUGUUCCUUUUUUCUGUGUUAAAAUCCGUUGUAUUUUGCUGAGCUAAAUUUGUAUUUUCUCAACAAAUUCAAAGCCUCUGUUCCUCACUCUUCUGAAAACUUCAUCAAUUCCAGUAGCCGUUACUUGCAAAAAUACAGUGUCUGAACUGCAGUGGCUCUGGAGGAUCUAUGCUCAUGUAAUCAUUGAAAAAGCAGGGAUUGAACUAUAUUAGUAGAAUGUAAUAAAAAAAAUGCCUAAAACCCCGAACGAUCAACUUUUGGUUAUUAUUAGCACCCCUCUAUGCUGAAAAUAGUCGCGCGCACUACACGAGAAAUUUUUAGUGGUCCAGGAUUACAUGGUCCCAGUCAAUCAGAAAAUGCUAUGUCACCAAAUGUGUUAGUUUUAUUCGGCUUUUUGGCAACAUGGCAUCUUCUGAUUGGCUGGGACCAUGUAGUUCUGAUUGGUUUUGGUUGAGUGAUGAUUAUACGCUCGAUUGGGUUUCUCUGUCAAGGGAAAUUUAGCACUUCACAACAAUGUUGGCACAUUCUUGUGCAAGUCUAGGGGAUUAAUUUCCAAAUUGAUACUAUAGGAAGGUUAGUUGCCAGAAGUUAGAGUGUGAAAUUUCAAAAUUAGGCAGGACAACUUAUACCAUCACCUCUUCCCUCUUGCCAAACAGUCAAUCUGUUCGGAUAAACCUGACUCUAAGAAGGGUUGGAAGGAAGGAGCCUGGCAAACCCCAUCUCCCGGGGACUUUUCCAUUCCGACCGUCUUUGGCGCGUGCUCCGUCCCCUUGUAUGUUAAAUUCAAAACACAUAAGAGUGAUUGUAAAUGUGAAAUCUGUCUCCCUCGCUACGUCUCUUUCCUUUGUCAUUCUUUGGGAAUUCCUUAUGAUGAAUUGAGUUACGGUACAUUGAAAAAAGCUGAACAUAGUGAUGCAGGCAUGUAGAAUAUAUAUAUUCCACACAGAUGUCCUCCACCUGUGUAAUGUUGAUUUAAAUUCCUUUCAUCCCUUAUUUAUUUACCCUUGUUCUUUUUGGUGUUCCUAAUCUUGAGAAGUUAUUCUAUGGUCCCGGGAUCUCAGGCCAAUCACCAUAGGCAAUUGUGUUGGAAAUGCUUAAGUUUCAUUCAUCUUUUUGCUUGCGUUGUAAUGUUUUCAAUUUUUACCAUUUUUCAUGUUAUGGAAUUUUUUGAAUUUUUCGAGGGUAAUUUCAUCUUUUUUCGUUUUGCGUGCCGGAUACCGUGGGGUGCCGGAUGAGUUCCGAGAGUUGUUGGGGCAUUUUCUCGAGUUCAGGACUCUUGGAAAUGUAUUGAUUGUUAUUUUGACAUUUUUCUAUUUUUCGGAGGUGAGACCAGUUAUCGGAGUCGUUGUGCACGGGAGCUGUGUCACUGGUUUAUUGCAUUUCAUGCAUUGUUAUUUUGUAUAUAUUUACAUGGUUGUAUGUUAAUUUGUGUGGCUGCAAUUUAAUUGAUAUAUAUAUAUAUAUAUAUAUAUAUAUAUAUAUAUAUAUAUAUUUCAAUGUUAAAAAGAGAUUUUUAUUAUGCAUGUGGGAUCCACCACUAUACCACAUCAUUGCUUAAGGCCAAAAGGCCAUUUACAGACUUCAUUUUCUAUUCCUCUCUGCAGCAGUAUGUUCUCUCAGCUUUUUUCUUUUUUCUUUUACUUUUCACAAGUUCAAGUUUUGAUUUCUUCCAAACCAUAGAGAAUUUGAUAUUGCCAUUUAAGGCAAAGUUGACGAGCGCGUCAAGACCAUCAUUUUGAUCGGAGCUGAUUUCCUUUUGGACCACAUUUGGAUUUCGAAAAUAUGAGCAUAAUUUGGGGCUUUUCUCAUCUUUUGAGGUCCAUGGGGAUCAAGAUUGAUGGUGCAGAGCACAUAUGGUGUCAUUGUUUCUCCCAUUUACUUCAUCUGGCAUCAGAGACGUGACAAGGAUGGGAAUAAAAAAAUAAUAAAAAAUAAAAAUAAAAGAAACAAAAACAAAAACCAAAACCAACAAAAGUGGUAGGACUUUCACAUUAUCUUUUAUUAGCACUAAAGCAAUUGGAGAAACUAUUCAUGUAUUCUAUAUGAGAAUCCUUAAAUUUCUUCUAUCAUGAGUAUUUUUUUUUUUUCUUCCCUUUAAUUGUAAAAUAACUAUUCUUUUUAUUUUAAUAAAGAGAUAUCGAUUUUGGGUAUAAAGACCAGUUUCUCACCUUGUUACACCUGUUAUAUAACAAUACUUGACACAUCGUUCAUCCUUCUAUGUCCAAGUGUGGAAAAGUGGGCUGAAAGAAAUAGUUCUAAUAUGCUUCGGAGGCCCUAUUUUGUUUUUCGAAUAGGAAAAGAAAAACACCAUAAUGUUUGCCACAUCGUUUUUUUCUACCGUUAUUGUCUAAGAAGUAAGGACGAGGUGUUGUAUUUGUGUGGGGUCACUCUGUGGGAAACUGAUAGUACGUUCUUAGACACACGUCCGAACCCUAAUUUUAUAAAUAAUUUUUAUUAUUUUUAGCAAUUGGCUGACACAUCUUACACACUUUGGUCAAUAUUUUAAUGUGAAAUAAGAUGUCAUACUCCUAUAUUAAAAGAAUAGCAAAAAAUGUCCCAGGGAAACAAAGGAAAUGGGACCAUUAUUUAAGAAAACUUGAUGGUGGAAUGAACACGUCCAAAAUGUAAAAAAAAAUAAAACAGGUGGAGGAAAAAACUUUAAAAUAGUGAAAUUUUAAAAAAAUAAAAAAAAACAAUUAAAGAAAUUAAGAAAGUAGCAAUAAAUGCAGAACAUAGAGCAUAUGAUGAUCUUUAUUCUAAAUUAAUUGAAUGGGUGCGUACUUGUUCAUUUAUCUAAAAGCUCAAGUUGUUAAGUAGUACUGCAUACUCAUCUAUUUAUAUUCAAUUAUUUUUCCAUCCAGAUCCAAUGUGGGACAAAUGACCCUUAUUACAUUCUUUCCCAUCCAAACUUGCAACGCCCUCAUUACGGCUCAAGCCAACCUGCUUAUUUGGGCUGUAAACUCGGACACCCUCUGGGCCGAGUGCUUGGCGUGACACCGGAUCAAGGAUUGGGUUUGACUCUAAUACCAACUGUAACGGGUGUUUAUCCAAUCACUUUUCCAUCCGGAUUCGAUGUAAGACAAAUGACCUUUUUUUUUUUUU